GACGAACGCUGGCGGCGUGCUUAACACAUGCAAGUCGAACGGAAAGGCCCUGCUUUUGUGGGGUGCUCGAGUGGCGAACGGGUGAGUAACACGUGAGUAACCUGCCCUUGACUUUGGGAUAACUUCAGGAAACUGGGGCUAAUACCGGAUAGGAGCUCCUGCUGCAUGGUGGGGGUUGGAAAGUUUCGGCGGUUGGGGAUGGACUCGCGGCUUAUCAGCUUGUUGGUGGGGUAGUGGCUUACCAAGGCUUUGACGGGUAGCCGGCCUGAGAGGGUGACCGGCCACCUUGGGACUGCGAUACGGCCCAGACUCCUACGGGAGGCAGCAGUGGGGAAUAUUGCACAAUGGGCGGAAGCCUGAUGCAGCAACGCCGCGUGCGGGAUGACGGCCUUCGGGUUGUAAACCGCUUUCGACUGUGACGAAGCGUGAGUGACGGUAAUGGGUAAAGAAGCACCGGCUAACUACGUG
rnacentral:rRNA from 1 species